rnacentral:rRNA from 1 species
GACGAACCGUGCGAACGUUAUUCGGAAUCAUUGGGCUUAAAGGGCGCGUAGGCGGCGGUGUAAGUUGGAAGUGAAAUCCCAUCGGCUCAACCGUGGAAUCGCUCCCAGUACUGCAUCGCUCGAGGGGGAUAGGGGUCUGCGGAACUACCGGUGGAGCGGUGAAAUGUGUUGAUAUCGGUGGGAACGCCAGUGGCGAAAGCGGCAGACUUGACCCUUCCUGACGCUGAGGCGCGAAAGCUAGGGGAGCAAACAGG